rnacentral:tRNA from 1 species
AUUACUUUGACAGAAUAAUGUAUUAAAUUUAGAAUUUAAAAGAGUAAUUUUAUAUUACAAGUAAUA